UACGGGGGGAGCAAGCGUUGUUCGGAUUUACUGGGCGUAAAGGGCGCGUAGGCGGCCAGCACAAGUCAGUUGUGAAAUCUCCGAGCUUAACUCGGAACGGUCAACUGAUACUGUGCGGCUAGAGUGCAGAAGGGGCAACUGGAAUUCUUGGUGUAGCGGUGAAAUGCGUAGAUAUCAAGAGGAACACCUGCGGCGAAGGCGGGUUGCUGGGACGGUACUGACGCUGAGGCGCGAAAGCGUGGGGAGCAAACAGG
rnacentral:rRNA from 1 species